UACAGAGGUCUCAAGCGUUGUUCGGAUUCAUUGGGCGUAAAGGGUGCGUAGGCGGCGCGGUAAGUCGGGUGUGAAAUCUCGGAGCUUAACUCCGAAACUGCAUUCGAUACUGCCGUGCUUGAGGACUGGAGAGGAGACUGGAAUUUACGGUGUAGCGGUGAAAUGCGUAGAUAUCGUAAGGAAGACCAGUGGCGAAGGCGGCUCACUGGCCCGGAACUGACGCUGAGGUGCGAAAGCGUGGGGAGCAAACAGG
rnacentral:rRNA from 1 species